rnacentral:misc_RNA from 1 species
UUUCCGUAGGUGAACCUGCGGAAGGAUCAUUAUCGAGUUCAGACCGAAUAGGUCGAUCUCCCACCCGUGCCUAUCAUGCCCAUGUUGCUUCGGCAGGUCGUCUGCUCUAGCCACCGGCGCCUGCUGGUGAGUACCUGCCGGAGGCCCUACCACGCGAGAAAUGUAUUGUCGGAUAAUGCAAAACCCUUUAAAACUUUCAACAACGGAUCUCUUGGUUCUG